rnacentral:lncRNA from 1 species
CGCCACCACGCCCAGCUAAUUUUGUAUUUUGUUGGUCAGGCUGGUUUCGAACUCCCGACCUCAGGUGAUCCGCCCACCUCAGCCUCCCAAAGGCUGAGAUUACAGGCGUGAGCCACUGCGCCCCACCCACAGCCUAACUUUUCAACUUUGCCUACUAUCGCCCCUCUCUGUUCAACCCCACCCCAUGCAACACACUAUCCAGAAGUUAUGCUUUUGUCCUCUAGGCCAGGGGCUGCAAGCUCUGAUGUCCGGGGGUCAAGUAGGUAAUUUAAGUGAGGGAAGUGGGUUAGGUAUAAGACAAAAGGGAGUGGUGGGGACUAUGGCAAAUUAGAGAGCACAUGCUCUGUCUAAAGGGAUGGCCGGGUGCGGCGGCUCACGCCUGUAAUCCCAGCACUUUGGGAGGCUGAGGCUGACGGAUCACUAGAGGUCAGGAGUUCAAGACCCCCCUGGCCAACAUGGUGUAACCCCCUCUCUACUAAAUAUACAAAAAAAUUAGCCAGGUGUGGUGGUGCACGCCUGUAAUCCCAGCUACUCAGGAGGCCGAGGCAGGAGAAUUGCUUGAACCUGAGAGGCAGAGGUUGCAGUGAGCCAAGAUCGUGCCACUGCACUCCAGCCUGGGCAACAGAGCAAGACUCCAUCUCAAAAAUAAACAAAAACAAAAAUUAAUAAAAAUAAUAAAGGGAGAACCACUACUCCCAUCAGCCAAGUGCUAUCCUGGAGAAAUGCAACCUGGUGGUCCCAGUUCUUCCAGUUGCUUAAGUGGGAAAUCCAGACUUUAAUGUAAAAUAUGCUAAUUAAUUAAAGGUUUAAAAAAAAAAAACCCAAACAUUAUGUGGGCCAAACAAGACUUGCCUGUAGGCCACCAGUUUAUGUCUAUGUAGGCCCUGGAGAGCUGUGAAUGGUUUAUAGUCAAGGAAGGGACAUAGUCAGAUGUGUGUGUUUUCAAAGAUUCCUCUGGGAUGGUAUGGAGGCUGGGCUGAAGGAGCACAGGGGUUGGCCAAGACCUGUGAGGAAGCUGGUAAAUCAUUCAUUUAAUCUUUCAUCCAUUUAAUCCUUCAUUCAUUCACCUAGCCCCUUCUCUGCAACAGGCCCUGAGCAGUUGCAGGAAUCUCGAUGAGAGACAGCACAGCAGAGGUCCUGGAGAUGGUAGUUAAAGGCAGAAUUGAGAAAUCCAAAGGAAAACUGACAGGUACCAACAGGCUGUACUGGUAAUGGCAGGGGCGGUCUGCAGGGUACUGGCUAGGGUGAGGGCUGCUGGGUGAUGGUGCUGAGCAGGAGAUGUAGGAAAGAGGGAGAUCCGUUUUUGGACAAGCUGAGUUUGUAGUGCCUGGGGGAUAUCCAAGAAGAGGGUCCAGCAGGCAGCUGGGCCUACAAGCAACCCCGUUCCGUUACACACUCAGUAGCCAAAGCAAAUAGAGCUCCUGAUCCCCUCAAACCUGCUCCAAAACCAUGGCUUUAAUGCUCAGGCCCAAAUCCCUAAUCACCCUUGACUUUCACACCCCACGUCUAUCAGCAAAACAUAAUGGAGUUACCAUCAGAAUAUAUCCAGCAUCUGGCUACUGCCAUCUGGACCCCCCACCAUCUCUCACCUGGAUUAUCCCUGCCUUUUCCUUUGUCCCAUAGCUUAUUCUCAACACAGCAGCCAGAGGGAUCUUAGUAAAACCCGAGACAAAUCAUGUACCCCUCUGCUCGGAACCAGGCAGUGUCUCCCCAUCCCAUGCAAAGUAAAAGUAAACUCCUUAGAAUGGCUCAGAAGCCCCUGCAUCUUCAGGCCCCGUCACCUCCUCUGCCCUUUCUGCUGCUGCUCUCCCUCUCCCUCACGCUGCUUCAGCCACGCGGGGUGCCUCGCUGUGCGCCUUGCUGUGCCUUGAACACGCCUGCCUCCAUGCCUUGGCGCUGCCUGCUUCUUCUGCAUGGAGAGAUUUCUCUCCAAAUAUCUGCAUGGUCGGCUCCCCAAGGCUUUCCCUGACCCAUGCAAUGUAAAACAGCCUCCUCCCCAGCUCUGGCUGGCAUUCUCCACCCUCUUAUUCUAAUCAGUUUUCCUCCAUAGUACCUGUCACCAUCUGACAUAUCACAUAUAUUCGCUUAUUGCUUGUGGUGUGUUGCUCUCAUUAAAAUGCCAGCUCCAGGAGGUGGGGACUUUGCUGUGCUAUCUGAUAUAUCCCAGAGUUGAGACCUGGCACACAUGCAGUAAGCAAGGAAGAUCCUCAUACGGAUUUGUUCCAUGAAUGACUGAAUGACCUAAGAUGCAGAGCCACCUGUGCCCUCCUUGGCUCAAAACCCUCCUCAUUCUUGCCGGAAAUGUAAAUUAGUUGUAAUCUUUUUAGAAGGACAUUUAUCAAUUUCUAUCAAAGUUUACAACGCGCAUAGCAUUUGAGCCACCAAGCCCACCUCUAAGCAUGGUCCUAAAGAUAGACCUGGGGUCCUGAAGAUGGUCCUGGGGUACACAAGGGCAUGGCUAGUGAUGAGAACAAGACGGGGAGGCAGGUUCUGUGAACUGUGGGACAACCACGCAGAGCACCGGGCAGCUACUAGAAGGUGUGGGGUAAUGAGGGAAAGCACCCAAGAUAAAUUAAUUGAAAAAGGCCAGGGGACAGCAUCGCUACUGGGAUCCCACGCGUGUAGCCAAGGAAAAGGACACACAUGGAUGGGUUUAUUUAUAAAGAGAAUUUCUGGAUGGAAUCCUAUAAAACUUUUAGCAGUGACUGCCUCUCAGAAGGAAGAGCGGGGAUCUGAGGGUGGGAGAAGCUUUUCUUUGUGCGCCCCUUUGUGAUGUUUAAAUUGUGGUUAUGUGCGCACAUAGUCCUUUUUUUUUCCAAUGGACA